UAGGGAAUCUUCCGCAAUGGACGAAAGUCUGACGGAGCAACGCCGCGUGAGUGAAGAAGGAUUUCGGUUCGUAAAACUCUGUUGUUAGGGAAGAAAAAAUGUAUAGUAACUAUAUACAAAAGAGACGGUACCUAACCAGAAAGCCACGGCUAACUACGUGCCAGCAGCCGCGGUAAUACGUAGGUGGCAAGCGUUGUCCGGAAUUAUUGGGCGUAAAGCGCGCGCAGGUGGUUUAGAAAGUCUGAUGUGAAAGCCCACGGGUCAACCGUGGAGGGUCAUUGGAAACUAAUAAACUUGAGUGCAGGAGAGAAAAGUGGAAUUCCUAGUGUAGCGGUGAAAUGCGUAGAGAUUAGGAGGAACAACGGUGGCGAAAGCGGCUUUUUGGCCUGCAACUGACACUGAGGCGCGAAAGCGUGGGGAGCAAACAGG
rnacentral:rRNA from 1 species